UACGGAGGGUGCAAGCGUUAUCCGGAUUCACUGGGUUUAAAGGGUGCGUAGGCGGGUAAGUAAGUCCGCUGUGAAAACUCGAGGCUCAACCUCGAGAUGUCGGCGGAAACCGUCUGGCUAGAGUCCGGAAGAGGAGAGUGGAAUUCCUGGUGUAGCGGUGAAAUGCGCAGAUAUCAGGAAGAACACCUAUGGCGAAGGCGGAUCUCUGGGCCGAUACUGACGCUGAGGAGCGAAAGCGUGGGGAGCGAACAGG
rnacentral:rRNA from 1 species